rnacentral:rRNA from 1 species
UACGUAGGGUGCAAGCGUUGUCCGGAAUUAUUGGGCGUAAAGAGCUCGUAGGCGGUCUGUUGCGUCGGCUGUGAAAACCCGGGGCUCAGCUUCGGGCUUGCGGUCGAUACGGGCGGGCUAGAGUUCGGUAGGGGAGACUGGAAUUCCUGGUGUAGCGGUGAAAUGCGCAGAUAUCAGGAGGAACACCGGUGGCGAAGGCGGGUCUCUGGGCCGAUACUGACGCUGAGGAGCGAAAGCGUGGGGAGCGAACAGG